rnacentral:lncRNA from 1 species
UCGGAGUCCCGCGUCGGCCAGUGUGAGAAGCAGCGAGUAGGCGACGCCGCUGCAACUGUGGCGCGUCCGAUCUCCGGGCCGUGCGUGGCCUCACUGCCGGGAACCGCGCCCCAGUUAUUUUCUCCAGAAAGAAGAAAACAUUGAUACCUUGCAUCCUGGAAGUUCAUUUAGGAAUCUGAAAUCAGGGACUUCUUUAUAAUUUGGACAUGGCUAAUCGAGGAGCAACAAGACCCAACGGGCCAAAUACUGGAAAUAAAAUAUGCCAGUUCAAACUGGUACUUCUAGGAGAGUCUGCUGUUGGCAAAUCAAGUCUGGUGCUUCGCUUUGUGAAAGGCCAAUUUCAUGAGUUUCAAGAGAGUACCAUUGGGGGAAGCACAGUCCUAUGCAGAUGACAACAGCUUAUUAUUUAUGGAGACAUCAGCUAAGACACCAAUGAAUGUAAAUGAAAUAUUUAUGGCAAUAGCUAAAAAGCUGCCAAAGAACGAACCACAAAAUCCAGGCGCAAACUCAGCCAGAGGACGAGGAGUAGACCUUACUGAGCCUGCACAGCCAGCCAGAAGCCAGUGUUGUAGUAACUGAACUCCAGUGUCAACUUCCUAAAUGGCAAAAACCAUGGAAUUGGGAGCAUUUAGCCGGCCCAGUGUGACUUCCAAAAAGAGACUAUGGUAGAAUCAAGUUUCUAAUACUGAAUUAUUUUGAGUGUUUUGAACUUAAUUUUUAAUAACAUGCAUGUGUUCCUCCAGCAGUAGAAAGGAAAAUGAGAACUGUGUAUACACUUGUUCCAUGGGAAAUUGCAGGGGAACAGUUCAUCUCCAGUGGGCAUGGACCCACUCUUAACCCACCCAGUCUCCAAACUGGGAUGAUAGUCAGGUAUGGAAGAUUCAAAAUUACUAAUGUAUGCUUUAGAAAAACAUUUUUAGAAGACUAAAAAUAUUUAUGCUUAGCAACAAAAGCCAAGCAAAUGGUAAUUUUCUUUGAUUGUCUUAAAAAGCCUACAUUUCACAUAUUAAUAAAGUAAUCCCAAGAAAACAGUCCUAUAUCUCCAGAAAGAAGGAAUAUUGGUGGCAUCUUAAUUUUAUUCAGUCAUGUUACUUCUUAAAAUUUAAUUGAAGAAAAAAAAGUCAUGUAACCCCAUCCUGUUUUAGGAAUAUAAAAACUGAUAAGUGCAUUUUAAUGGAUAGUGGUCCUUUCAUAGGAGCUUCUUUUUAAGACAAAGUGGAAACAAACCAGGUAUCUGCUUUCUAUUUAAUCACUGUUGGCUAUUACAUAGAGGUCUGUCUAGAACAGGGAGGGGGCUCUGCUUCCCUUUGGACAUGAUUAGUCAGUGCACUAACCAUUAUGUACAUUCAAACUUGAUUAUUUUAAAUAUUCAGCUGUACUGUAAAUAGAGUACUGCAUUGUAGUCUCCAUAUGUUUAUUAUUUCCUGUAAUAUUUAAGAAUUGCCUAAACAUACAAAAUGUACAGUUACUAAAACAGCUAAUUAUUUCUUUCUCCCCCUAUGAAAGGAAGGGGCUUUGCUGUUCUUACAUGCUAGAACCAUAAUAAACACCGUACUUGCAAUUUGU